rnacentral:rRNA from 1 species
CCUACGGGAGGCUGCAGUGGGGAAUAUUGGACAAUGGGCGCGACCCUGAAGCAGCCAAGCCGCGUGGAGGAUGACGGUUUUAGGAUUGUUAAAUCUUUUUGUGAGAGGAGCUAAUGACGGUAUCUCACGAAUCAGCACCGGCUAACUCCGUGCCAGCAGCCGCGGUCAUCCGGAGGGUGCAAGCGUUACUCGGAAUCACUGGGCGUAAAGGGUGCGCAGACGGGCUUGUAAGUCAGAUGUGAAAGCCUGUAGCUUAACUGCAGAACUGCAUUUGAAACUAUGAGUCUAGAGUAUAGUAGAGGUAGGUGGAAUUCGUGGUGUAGCGGUAAAAUCCGUAGAUAUCAAGAAGAAUUCUCAUUGCGAAGGCGACCUACUGGAACAUUACUGACACUCAUGCUCGAAAGCGUGGGGAGCAAACAGGAUUAGAUACCCUGGUAGUC